rnacentral:rRNA from 1 species
UACGUAGGGUCCGAGCGUUGUCCGGAAUUACUGGGCGUAAAGAGCUCGUAGGUGGUUUGUCGCGUUGUUCGUGAAAACUCACAGCUCAACUGUGGGCGUGCGGGCGAUACGGGCAGACUAGAGUACUGCAGGGGAGACUGGAAUUCCCGGUGUAGCGGUGAAAUGCGCAGAUAUCGGGAAGAACACCCGUGGCGAAGGCGGUUCUCUGGGACGGUACUGACGCUGAGACGCGAAAGCGUGGGGAGCGAACAGG